GUCUACGGCCAUACCACCCUGAACACACCUGAUCUCAGAAGUUAAGCAGGGUCGGGCCUGGUUAGUACUUGGAUGGGAGAACAUGGGAUAUUUAAGUUCAUGUGUCUAGUCU
rnacentral:rRNA from 1 species